GAUGAACGCUGGCGGCAUGCCUAAUACAUGCAAGUCGAACGAGAGGAAGGAAAGCUUGCUUUCCUGAAUCUAGUGGCGAACGGGUGAGUAACACGUAGGUAACCUGCCCAUGUGCCCGGGAUAACUUCUGGAAACGGAUGCUAAAACCGGAUAGGUAGCAGACAAGCAUUUGACUGCUAUUCAAGUGGCCUUGGCCAUGAACAUGGAUGGACCUGCGGUGCAUUAGCCAGUUGGUGAGGUAACGGCCCACCAAGGCGACGAGGCAUAGCCGGGCUGAGAGGGCGGACGGCCACAUUGGGACUGAGACACGGCCCAAACUCCUACGGGAGGCAGCAGUAGGGAAUUUUCGUCAAUGGGGGGAACCCUGAACGAGCAAUGCCGCGUGAGUGAGGAAGGUCUUCGGAUCGUAAAGCUCUGUUGUAAGAGAAAAACGGCACUCAUAGGGAAUGAUGAGUGAGUGAUGGUAUCUUACCAGAAAGUCACGGCUAACUACGUGCCAGCCGCCGCCGUAAAAC
rnacentral:rRNA from 1 species